rnacentral:rRNA from 1 species
UACGGAAGGGGCAAGCGUUGUUCGGAAUCAUUGGGCGUAAAGGGCGCGUAGGUGGUUCUGUAUGUCUACCGUGAAAGCGUACGGCUCAACUGUAUUUUGUCGGUGGAAACUGCAGGACUUGAGGCUGGGAGGGGCUGGUGGAAUUCCCUGUGUAGCGGUGAAAUGCGUUGAUAUGCACAGGAACUCCGGUGGCGAAGGCGGCGAGCUGGACCCUUUCUGACGCUGAGGCGCGAAAGCCAGGGGAGCGAACGGG